rnacentral:rRNA from 1 species
GUCUACGGCCAUGCCGCCCUAAACACGCCUGAUCCUGUCUGAUCUCGGAAACUAAGCAGGGUCAGGACUGGUUACUACUUAGAUGGGAGAUCACCUAGGAAGACCAGGUGUUGUAGGUG